AUGGAUGAUGAAUACAGUGAUGCUUCUCUAGAACUAAAUAACCAGGUUCCGGUUGACAGAACUUUGUAUCCCAAAUCUCAUUCUGAGGAAAGGUUAUCUGAUUCAGUCUCAGAUAAAUGUGUUUCUCCCAAGACCAGUGAUGGUGCGCCUGAAAUGAAAAACAAAGUAGUGAUGGCUCCUUCUGUACAUGAUCUGAAUCCUUCUUCCAAAUAUCAAUCCAAAUCUCAUUCUGAGGAAAGGUUAUCUCAUUCAGUUUCAGAUAAAUGUGUUUCUCCCAAGACCAGUGAUGGUGCACCUGAAAUGAAAAACAAAAUAGUGAUGCCUCCUUCUGUACAUGAUCUGAAUCCUUCUUCCAAAUCUCAUUCUGAAGAAAGGUUAUCUGAUUCAGUUUCAGAUAAAUGUGUUUCUCCUAAGACCACUGAUGGUGCGCCAGAAAUGAAAAAC
rnacentral:lncRNA from 1 species